UACGUAGGUGGCAAGCGUUGUCCGGAAUUAUUGGGCGUAAAGCACGCGCAGGCGGUCCUUUAAGUCUGAUGUGAAAGCCCACGGCUCAACCGUGGAGGGUCAUUGGAAACUGGGGGACUUGAGUGCAGAAGAGGAAAGCGGAAUUCCACGUGUAGCGGUGAAAUGCGUAGAGAUGUGGAGGAACACCAGUGGCGAAGGCGGCUUUCUGGUCUGUAACUGACGCUGAGGCGCGAAAGCGUGGGGAGCAAACAGG
rnacentral:rRNA from 1 species